rnacentral:rRNA from 1 species
UACGUAGGGUGCGAGCGUCAAUCGGAAUUACUGGGCGUAAAGCGUGCGCAGGCGGUGAUGUAAGACAGUUGUGAAAUCCCCGGGCUCAACCUGGGAACUGCAUCUGUGACUGCAUUGCUGGAGUGCGGCAGAGGGGGAUGGAAUUCCGCGUGUAGCAGUGAAAUGCGUAGAUAUGCGGAGGAACACCGAUGGCGAAGGCAAUCCCCUGGGCCUGCACUGACGCUCAUGCACGAAAGCGUGGGGAGCAAACAGG